UAAGUUAUCGUUUAUUUGAUAGUACCUUACUACUUGGAUAACCGUGGGAAUUCUAGAGCUAAUACAUGCUAAAAAUCCCGACUUCGGAAGGGAUGUAUUUAUUAGAUUAAAAACCAAUGCCCUCUGGGCUCUUUGGUGAUUCAUGAUAACUUCUCGAAUCGCACGGCCUUGCGCCGGCGAUGGUUCAUUCAAAUUUCUUCCCUAUCAACUUUCGAUGUUUGGGUAUUGGCCAAACAUGGUUGCAACGGGUAACGGAGGGUUAGGGCUCGACCCCGGAGAAGGAGCCUGAGAAACGGCUACUACAUCCAAGGAAGGCAGCAGGCGCGCAAAUUACCCAAUCCCGACACGGGGAGGUAGUGACAAUAAAUACUGAUACAGGGCUCUUUUGGGUCUUGUAAUUGGAAUGAGUACAAUUUAAAUCCCUUAACGAGGAACAAUUGGAGGGCAAGUCUGGUGCCAGCAGCCGCGGUAAUUCCAGCUCCAAUAGCGUAUAUUAAAGUUGUUGUGGUUAAAAAGCUCGUAGUUGAACCUUGGGCCUGGCUGGCCGGUCCGCCUCACCGCGUGUACUGGUCCGGCCGGGCCUUUCCCUCUGUGGAACCUCAUGCCCUUCACUGGGUGUGACGGGGAAACAGGACUUUUACUUUGAAAAAAUUAGAGUGCUCCAGGCAGGCCUAUGCUCGAAUACAUUAGCAUGGAAUAAUGAAAUAGGACGUGUGGUUCUAUUUUGUUGGUUUCUAGGACCGCCGUAAUGAUUAAUAGGGACAGUCGGGGGCAUCAGUAUUCAAUUGUCAGAGGUGAAAUUCUUGGAUUUAUUGAAGACUAACUACUGCGAAAGCAUUUGCCAAGGAUGUUUUCAUUAAUCAGGAACGAAAGUUAGGGGAUCGAAGACGAUCAGAUACCGUCGUAGUCUUACCCAUAAACUAUGCCGAUUAGGGAUCGGACGAUGUUAUUUUU
rnacentral:rRNA from 1 species